rnacentral:rRNA from 1 species
AUUGAACGCUGGCGGCAUGCCUUACACAUGCAAGUCGAACGGUAACAGGUCUUCGGAUGCUGACGAGUGGCGAACGGGUGAGUAAUACAUCGGAACGUGCCCGAUCGUGGGGGAUAACGGAGCGAAAGCUUUGCUAAUACCGCAUACGAUCUACGGAUGAAAGCAGGGGACCGCAAGGCCUUGCGCGGACGGAGCGGCCGAUGGCAGAUUAGGUAGUUGGUGGGAUAAAAGCUUACCAAGCCGACGAUCUGUAGCUGGUCUGAGAGGACGACCAGCCACACUGGGACUGAGACACGGCCCAGACUCCUACGGGAGGCAGCAGUGGGGAAUUUUGGACAAUGGGCGAAAGCCUGAUCCAGCCAUGCCGCGUGCAGGAUGAAGGCCUUCGGGUUGUAAACUGCUUUUGUACGGAACGAAAAGACUCCUUCUAAUAAAGGGGGUUCAUGACGGUACCGUAAGAAUAAGCACCGGCUAACUACGUGCCAGCAGCCGCGGUAA